rnacentral:lncRNA from 1 species
CAUCCAGACAGUAGGAAAGGGUUAACUGCUUCUCUCGGGUCCUGAGCAAAGUCUGUCCCAUACCAGUUCCCAUAACCGGGUUUCCUGAAAUGGAGCAGGUCCCAGGUGACUCUCCACUAAUCACAUCCUUGGAAAUGGGGCCAUGAGGCUCAGAUUAGCUCAUCCCUUCACCUUCUUGAGGCCUUCUCCACCUGGAGCACAGAAUCUGGGGCAGCUUCACCACUCACCUCCCUCUGCUUUCUUAUCAGGGGUCAGACAGGGAUGUUCUAGCAGAGGAAUAUUAUUGGGCUAAUGGGGGCAACUAGAGGCCAUAAUGGUGCUGACUUUUGUGCAAUUCUUGGACUACAGCAUCUGUUCUUCCCCUUUCUAAGACUUAGGGGAAAAGAGAGAUUCUUUUCCUGGGACAGUACCAAAGUUUAUAUAACUCGAGUAUUUCGUUCUUCACCCCCAUUCCCUGUUUUCUUCCUCUCCUUGAAUAACUGACUAUGAUACUGACUAACUUCCUGUUCUUCCUGGCCAAGUCACCCUUUGCACAAAGUCUGAUUUCUCAUCCACCAGUAGCAGGUGCUGGGCCAGCCCAGGAGAUUUCAUUCCUUUCCUAUUAUUGUCCAAUUUUUCCUCUGCCU